rnacentral:rRNA from 1 species
ACUUAAAAUUUAAAGAAUUUGGCGGUGAUUUAGUCUUAUUAGAGGAACCUGUUUUUUAAUCGAUACACCACGAAGGAUCUUACUUGUUUUUAAAGUUUGUAUACCAUCAUUAUUAGAUAAUUUUAUGAGAAAAAAUUAUUGGGAUUAAAUUGUUAAAGAAAUUAGAUCAAGGUGCAGCUUAUAAAUAAGUUAAAAUGGGUUACAAUAAAAAUUGAUUUAUUAUGAAUAUAUGUAGUAAAUGGGUAUAGAAGGAGGAUUUAAUUGUAAUUUAGGUUUAAUAAGCUAGAGUGACAAAAGCUCUAAAUCAUGUACACAUCGCC